UUUGAGUUAGCAGAAAUAGUAAUGCGUCUGUUUUAGGUGCAGAAAGUAAGAAGAUCUUACUCAAAA
rnacentral:tRNA from 1 species